GUGGGGAAUCUUGCGCAAUGGGCGAAAGCCUGACGCAGCCAUGCCGCGUGAAUGAUGAAGGUCUUAGGAUUGUAAAAUUCUUUCACCGGGGACGAUAAUGACGGUACCCGGAGAAGAAGCCCCGGCUAACUUCGUGCCAGCAGCCGCGGUAACACGAAGGGGGCUAGCGUUGCUCGGAAUUACUGGGCGUAAAGGGCGCGUAGGCGGACAGUUUAGUCAGAGGUGAAAGCCCAGGGCUCAACCUUGGAAUUGCCUUUGAUACUGGCUGUCUUGAGUACGGGAGAGGUGAGUGGAACUCCGAGUGUAGAGGUGAAAUUCGUAGAUAUUCGGAAGAACACCAGUGGCGAAGGCGACUCACUGGCCCGUUACUGACGCUGAGGCGCGAAAGCGUGGGGAGCAAACAGGAUUAGAAACCCGGGUAGUCC
rnacentral:rRNA from 1 species